CGGGCGGCCGGCCCACUGCCCCCAAAUCUGCAGCGCCCCUCCUCCUCCCUUUGGUCUCCUCGCUGAGCCCAUGGCCGCCUCGCCUCACCACCGGACCGCCGCCCGUCCGGCGCGCUUCCUCCUCUCCUCUCCUCCCUCCCAUCCACUCCUCUUAUGGAGCUGCGCCCACCCAUGCCUCCGCCGCGGGCGCACGAAGAGCGCCGGCUGUCCGCCGCGUCGGCCGCCCCACCAAAUCUGAAGUGCUCCUCCACCGGAGCGGCGCCCGUCCGGCCUCCUCUCGCUCCUCCGGGCACAUCCUCCCGCUCCCUCCUCCGGGCACCUCCUCCCGCUUCGCCCAGGGCGCCCACGGCCAUACAUGUGCCAUCCACCCUGCCCACCAGCCAUGCCUCCGCCGCGCCAUAGGCAGAGCGCCGGCGCCGCGCUACCUCCUCUCCCUCCUUCCGCUGCGCCCACGACCCCCACGCAUCCAGUGUGGCGAACAUGCCCGUCGCCACCCCUGUACGCCUCCUCUGCCGCCGCCAGGCUGACUCCCGGCCCCACCUUGAAGCCGCCGCCGCUGCACACCACGCGCUGCUCUCCUCGCUCGCGUAUCGCCCCGCCUCAUGGCACACUUUCCUCAGCUCCGUGCGUGUAGGCGUAGUUGGGACGCGGGUUGCCCGCCAUGGUCACCGUCCACUCUGUACACUCUGCUCCGCGGCGAGUCGAUGAUGAGGAGCCCGAUUCAAAGGUGAGGAGAAACUGAUGGUUUCCUCUUUAAAUUCGGUGCUCCACCUGAACUCACUUUGUAACAAUCGUGGUGGGCUUCUGCCAUACCACUCAUACCCGUACCACUGGUACUGGACGAAUUGGACGCCAGGGCCCCCAUCUUGGUUGUUCUUCCCCAGCUGCAUACGGAAGAGCCUGGAAUUUACGGCACCUAUAGGUGUUAGGCGAUUUGGACACCGGGGUAGUGAUCUUGGUUGUUCUACGGUCGCUACAUAGCCAGACAUCCAAUCCUAGAGGAUAUCUGAGAUAUGGAGUCAAGUACAGCACUUAAAAGCAUCACUUCAGGACAGCAAAACUGUAGGGUCUUUGCACGCCUGAUAAGGCUUUGGGAUGCUAAAAUAAUUAAUCCCAGAUAUGGAGAUGGCUUGCUAAGCAUUGAUGGCAUUCUCUUAGAUGAAGAUGGCAACAUGGCACAGAUGAGUGUGCCCAAAAAAUAUGAAAAACAGUUUCGUGGAUUGCUAUCAGAAGGAUCUGUCUACAUUAUUUCAGAUAUUGUGGCUAUUGAUAACAAAAGCAAAUCAUAUGUCUACCACCAUCAGAACUACAUGUUGCAAUUCAAACAUGACACAAAGGUCCAUGCAUUGCACUCAAGAGGAGCAAAUAUACCUACUGUUUCCUUCAACUUUUGUCCAUUUGAUCAGCUGCCAAGAAAAGCAAUUGAUUCAAAACCACUCCUAGAUAUUAUUGGAGUAAUAAGUGAUGUUAGUCCAUACGAUUAUGCUACCCCAACAUCUCAGAACAAACUUCGGAAGAUAAAAAUCCGAAACCUAGAGUAUGUCUUUCUUGCAACGAUGCCACUUAUUUUCUUCCGCAAAGACCCUUUUUCCUGCAAUUCUAUAAGUAUACCUUGCUUUUCCAAUGAACAAACGCAAGAAGUAGUUCUAUGGGGCAAACAUGGAGAAUCAUUUGAUGAAGAAGCAAUACUUAAAAAAUCUCUAGAAGGAAUUGUGAUAGCUAUUUUUGCUGGUAUAACUGCAACUUCACAGAAGUUUACAGGUACAAUACAAGGAUCUUCAAGUUCGGCAACACAGGUGUAUCUUGACCUCAAUAUACCUGAAGUUCAACACUAUCGCAGCAGCUACCAAUGGAAAUUUCCAACUCUACAAAAGAAUCUCCCUAAAGUCGCACAUCUAUCUCCACUUGAAGCAGCAGGCAAGCUGUAUACCAUUGAACAAAUAUCUACCUUGCCAACCACAUCUUUUCAGGGAGGAGCAACAUUCAGUACUAUUGCAAAGGUGACAUCCAUUAUACCAUCAGUCAAAUGGUACUACAAAGCAUGCAAGCGGUGUGGAAAAGAUUACAACAACAUGUCAGAUACCCCAACAUGCGCCUGCCAAUUUCCUGUUCCAUGCCCAAUGUAUAAGCUCCCCCUUACACUAACAGAUAGCUCAACAAGUUUAGAUGCAGUUGCAUUUAAUAAAGUAGCUGAAGACUUGGUUGAGCGUCAUGUUGAGCAAGUUUCUAUGAACAUGAAAAUAGAUGCUGUGGAUCAGGUGCUUUCCCUGGAUAAAGCCAUUGGUAAAGAAAGGUUAUUCUAUAUAGGAAUGAAUAUUGAUUCAACUGCCAAGUACCCUAUAAAAUGUCCUGAAAAAAACUUUCCCCGUGGACAAUACCAAAUCGGUUCCUCUAUUAACUGCUUCAAAGUCAGCACAAGAUAACCUUGCACCAACUUCAUCUGUCAUAAAUGCUGAGAGUCCAAGUGCACAGCAGCCAGAGGCCCCCUUGAACAAUACACCUCCAAGUGAUAACCGCACACCUAUCAUUACAAAGGAAAGUGAAUCCAGUUCCGAAGUAAAAAGAAGGAUUGAUUUUGACAAGGAUGAUGCCAACAACUCUAACAGCUCAAAAAGCACAGAUAGUCCUCUUUCGAAAAGGCAAAAGCAGAGUGAGAACAAUAAAAAUGCAGCAAACAACUAUGAAAAGACAGACUAAAAUGAAAGUGCAUACAAAGGCAACUUCCACAAUACUCAUACAAGCAGCUUCCACAAUGCUCAUACAGCCAACUUCCACAGUGCUCCAAAAGACAAAUAAUCAAGAAUGUUCAACUUCCACAGCGCUUUGACACUGCCAGCCGACAACAAUAUUUUUUUUUAUUGCUCAACUUCUAUUGUGACCGAGAAUGUUCUCAUACCCAUUACCUUUAUAUUGUAACCGAGAUGUCUACUCAUGGGUACUUUUGGUUUCAUGCAAGCGACUUCAAAGUUUUCUGGCAAUAUUUGCAAUUUUGUGCUUACCAACAAUGGAUACACUCCUAUAAAUGGGCCAUAAUAUUUUUUUUGUAAACUGUACAAUCGUGCAUGCAUGUAAAAUAUUUAUUCCUACAUUAACACCUCAAAUGGCUGUUCUUACAAUCACAGUGUAAGUCACAAUUGCAAGUUUCUAAAAAUUCAUUGCUCGGUUAAUUCUGUAUUAAAGGUUACUAAAAAAUAUUUCGGUUAGACACUAUAAAUACAUUCAUUGCUCAGUUAAUAGUGUAUAAAACAUUUCUAAAACAUCUUUGGUUAAAAACUCUUAUGGUUGUAGUCCAACUAUAUAAUACCCCCCCCCCUCCCAUACAACCUAUAUCUACAAGCAAAUAUUUUCUCACACUGAAAACUUCACUAUUGUCAAAUACAUGGACAAGCAGCAACAAGGCAAAAGGUAUGUCUAUUACAUGCAAAGUUAUUUCGCCGGUUUCAUGUAUGAUAUUUCACAAUUUGCCCGCAUACUUUUCUACAGGAUGCAACAUUACACAACAAAGAAUGUUCUACCCUCUUCAUCAACGCAUGCAUCAAGAAAAACUCACAAGAAGUACAUGGAGGCUAUUGCAGACAUGAAAAAUGCCACCACCAAAUCCGCAACAUGGAUCACUUUGAAAGAGGACGCACGUGAAGACAAUAUCACAAAGCUACUCCAGGAACAUCCAUUCAGGUCCACCAAGUACAUCUUUGAGUACAUGAAGAACGGAUUUAAACAUGUCCAAAUUCUCCUCGAUGAAGAAGACAACCGCGUGGACGACUCUAACAAACUAUAA
rnacentral:rRNA from 1 species